GAGUAAUGUCUGGGAAACUGCCUGAUGGAGGGGGAUAACUACUGGAAACGGUGGCUAAUACCGCAUAACGUCGCAAGACCAAAGAGGGGGACCUUCGGGCCUCUUGCCAUCAGAUGUGCCCAGAUGGGAUUAGCUUGUUGGUGAGGUAACGGCUCACCAAGGCGACGAUCCCUAGCUGGUCUGAGAGGAUGACCAGCCACACUGGAACUGAGACACGGUCCAGACUCCUACGGGAGGCAGCAGUGGGGAAUAUUGCACAAUGGGCGCAAGCCUGAUGCAGCCAUGCCGCGUGUAUGAAGAAGGCCUUCGGGUUGUAAAGUACUUUCAGCGGGGAGGAAGGUGUUGUGGUUAAUAACCGCAGCAAUUGACGUUACCCGCAGAAGAAGCACCGGCUAACUCCGUGCCAGCAGCCGCGGUAAUACGGAGGGUGCAAGCGUUAAUCGGAAUUACUGGGCGUAAAGCGCACGCAGGCGGUCUGUCAAGUCGGAUGUGAAAUCCCCGGGCUCAACCUGGGAACUGCAUUCGAAACUGGCAGGCUUGAGUCUUGUAGAGGGGGG
rnacentral:rRNA from 2 species